AACGAACGCUGGCGGCAUGCCUAACACAUGCAAGUCGAACGAGACCUUCGGGUCUAGUGGCGCACGGGUGCGUAACGCGUGGGAACCUGCCCUUAGGUUCGGAAUAACUCCCCGAAAGGGGUGCUAAUACCGGAUAAUGUCUUCCGACCAAAGAUUUAUCGCCUUUGGAUGGGCCCGCGUUGGAUUAGCUAGUUGGUAGGGUAAAAGCCUACCAAGGCGACGAUCCAUAGCUGGUCUGAGAGGAUGAUCAGCCACACUGGGACUGAGACACGGCCCAGACUCCUACGGGAGGCAGCAGUGGGGAAUUUUGGACAAUGGGCGAAAGCCUGAUCCAGCAAUGCCGCGUGAGUGAUGAAGGCCUUAGGGUUGUAAAGCUCUUUUACCCGGGAUGAUAAUGACAGUACCGGGAGAAUAAGCUCCGGCUAACUCCGUG
rnacentral:rRNA from 1 species